rnacentral:lncRNA from 1 species
CUGUGCGCUGCUCUUGUGGGCUGUGGUGUCUGGAGUUAUGUUCUUUGGAUAGAGUGGUGUGGGGACCACAGGUGACCUUUCUGUCUUCCUCUCUCCUGAGGGUCCCAGCAGAGCACUGGUGUGAGUAUCUUGGGGAGGUUUGAUCUUUAACUGACAAGGGGAAUGUGCUGGUGUGGGAGGAGGAGUUGUUCUGGUUUUGAUUACUUGUGCUGAGUCUGUGUUCCAGAGGUUCCCUAUGAGAAGCAGUGGUAUUGCCAAUGAGGUGAUGUGAGGGUGUGGUAGUGAGGGUUGUGGUAGGCUCCAGUUGUUCUCUUAGAGUGUGGAUUCUGGUGUCUCUGUGUUGUAGUAAUUCUAUGACUGCUGACAAGUCCCUUUGUAGCUCCUCCCUGAUGUCAGCUACCUCUCUCCUCAUGAUGCUCUCGACCAUUGACAGUUUCUCUCUUAGCUCCUCCUUAUCCUGCCUCAGAACCACAAUGAAAAUGUAAAGGUAGAGAACACACAGAAGGCUGUUGUAUAAGAGAGGGAGAAGUGUCUAUCCAUGUAUACGGCUGCCCCACGAUGAGGACAACGAAACCGGGCUCAAGGAAUGAACAGUUAAGCCCAUGUCCUGGAUCUCCCAUCAUAAUAACCAAGGAGCAACAUUUUGGAGCAAACUUUAUUAGUCAAGGAAGAAGCACACAAACGGUAGCCUAGUGGUUAGAGCGUUGGACUAGUAACCAUUGCAAGAUCGAUCCCCGAGCUGACAAGGCCCUACACCCAAACAAGGGCACUCCGUUCAUCCACCUCUGGCCUGCUCGCCUCCCUACCUCUGAGGAAGCACAGUUCCCGCUCAGCCCAGUCAAAACUGUUCGCUGCUCUGGCACCCCAAUGGUGGAACAAGCUCCCUGACGACGCCAGGACAGCGGAGUCAAUCACCACCUUCC